CCAAAACUUUCCUGCAGCUGCUGUGCCUGUCUCUGCGCUGCAAUGGCGGGCGAAUUUUAAGGGCGUAAUUAGCUUUUGGUGAGGAAAAAAAAGGCUUUUUUGGAGAUAGUUACCUAAGAGAGGGUCUCUUCAUUGUUUAGAUAUUUAAUGACCUUGGAUUAUUUCCUUUUUCUCAUAGCAGCUGGGAUUACAAAUUUUGGAUAAAGUGCCUCAUCAGCCUUUGGCAUCUCAACACUCUGCUAUCUACAAACGAGGCACUUUCCUCCCUCUCCCAGAGUAAUGGAGUGCUCUGCUCCAGAAACAAAAACCAAGUAAAUGCUUCCACAUGCUUCCAUCCUCUUUCUUGCACUUGUUAAAGCUCUCAUCUGGGAUGCCAGUCUGACUCUAGGCCACAGGAAUAGCUGGGCCAUGAACCACACCAGAAGUGCGUCAGCACUGACACGCAUUGUCAGGAACACCGGUGACCCGAGGCUGCCCACGCAGACACAGGACCAUUUUGACGACGACUGAUAGAAGAAGCAAAGGCAAGAUCAUUGAAGUGCCUGGACAGCACGCACCGUUAGUGGCUGGAUCCUCUCGCCUCCCAUCUUGUGAAACCACCGUUACAUGUAACCCCAGCAUGUGUUUGCCAGAUGCUUUUUGAUCCUUGAGUUUGUUGCCUGGAUAGUGCAUGCAGUCCCUAACACAGAAUGUAUUUAAAAUACGGUAAAUGGGUCAUCCCCAUACUAAUUCUGCACAAAUUCUGCUAAAGGGCGAAAAACCACCACAUUAAGAGAUAUAGAAGAAGAGAGAUUCCUUCACCAAAUGAAG
rnacentral:lncRNA from 1 species